rnacentral:rRNA from 1 species
UACGUAGGGAGCAAGCGUUGUCCGGAUUCACUGGGUGUAAAGGGUGCGCAGGCGGACUUGUAAGUCAGGGGUGAAAUCUUACGGCUUAACCGUGAAACUGCCUUUGAUACUGCAGGUCUUGAGUUCGGGAGAGGUUGAUGGAAUUCCAGGUGUAGCGGUGAAAUGCGUAGAUAUCUGGAAGAACACCAGUGGCGAAGGCGGUCAACUGGCCCGUAACUGACGCUCAGGCACGAAAGCGUGGGUAGCGAACAGG